rnacentral:rRNA from 1 species
GUGGGGAAUAUUGGACAAUGGGCGCAAGCCUGAUCCAGCAAUGCCGCGUGGGUGAAGAAGGUCUUCGGAUCGUAAAGCCCUUUCGACAGGGACGAUGAUGACGGUACCUGUAGAAGAAGCCCCGGCUAACUUCGUGCCAGCAGCCGCGGUAAUACGAAGGGGGCUAGCGUUACUCGGAAUUACUGGGCGUAAAGGGCGCGUAGGCGGCUCUGUUAGUCAUGCGUGAAAUUCCUGGGCUUAACCUGGGGACUGCGCUUGAUACUGCAGGGAUUGAGGCCGAGAGAGGGUGGUGGAAUUCCCAGUGUAGAGGUGAAAUUCGUAGAUAUUGGGAAGAACACCGGUGGCGAAGGCGACCACCUGGCUCGGUUCUGACGCUGAGGCGCGACAGCGUGGGGAGCAAACAGGAUUAGAUACCCGUGUAGUCC